AGAGUUUGAUCCUGGCUCAGGAUGAACGCUGGCGGCGUGCCUAACACAUGCAAGUCGAACGAAGCACUUUCUUUUGAUUCUUCGGAUGAAGAAGACUGUGACUGAGUGGCGGACGGGUGAGUAACGCGUGGGUAACCUGCCCCAUACAGGGGGAUAACAGUUAGAAAUGACUGCUAAUACCGCAUAAGCGCACAGCUUCGCAUGAAGCAGUGUGAAAAACUCCGGUGGUAUGGGAUGGACCCGCGUCUGAUUAGGUAGUUGGUGGGGUAACGGCCUACCAAGCCAACGAUCAGUAGCCGGCCUGAGAGGGUGGACGGCCACAUUGGGACUGAGACACGGCCCAAACUCCUACGGGAGGCAGCAGUGGGGAAUAUUGCACAAUGGGGGAAACCCUGAUGCAGCGACGCCGCGUGAAGGAAGAAGUAUUUCGGUAUGUAAACUUCUAUCAGCAGGGAAGAAAAUGACGGUACCUGACUAAGAAGCCCCGGCUAACUACGUGCCAGCAGCCGCGGU
rnacentral:rRNA from 1 species